rnacentral:tRNA from 3 species
UCCCGAGUAGCGCAGCGGUAGCGCAGGUGACUGUUAAUCACUUGGUCGCUGGUUCGAAUCCAGCCUCGGGAGCCA